UGAUAGAGAAGUAGUCAGUGACAGAU
rnacentral:piRNA from 1 species